rnacentral:rRNA from 1 species
CCUACGGGUGGCAGCAGUGGGGAAUAUUGGACAAUGGGGGCAACCCUGAUCCAGCCAUGCCGCGUGUGUGAAGAAGGCCCUCGGGUUGUAAAGCACUUUCAGUGAGGAAGAACGCCUGGUGGUUAAUACCCAUCAGGAAAGACAUCACUCACAGAAGAAGCACCGGCUAACUCCGUGCCAGCAGCCGCGGUAAUACGGAGGGUGCGAGCGUUAAUCGGAAUUACUGGGCGUAAAGCGCGCGUAGGUGGCUUGAUAAGCCGGUUGUGAAAGCCCCGGGCUCAACCUGGGAACGGCAUCCGGAACUGUCAAGCUAGAGUGCAGGAGAGGAAGGUAGAAUUCCCGGUGUAGCGGUGAAAUGCGUAGAGAUCGGGAGGAAUACCAGUGGCGAAGGCGGCCUUCUGGACUGACACUGACACUGAGGUGCGAAAGCGUGGGUAGCAAACAGGAUUAGAUACCCCAGUAGUA